AGCGAACGCUGGCGGCAGGCCUAACACAUGCAAGUCGAACGAACCUUUCGGGGUUAGUGGCGGACGGGUGAGUAACACGUGGGAACGUGCCCUUAGGUUCGGAAUAACUCAGGGAAACUUGUGCUAAUACCGAAUGUGCCCUUCGGGGGAAAGAUUAAUCGCCUUUAGAGCGGCCCGCGUCUGAUUAGCUAGUUGGUUGAGGUAAUGGCUCACCAAGGCGACGUUCAGUAGCUGGUCUGAGAGGAUGAUCAGCCACAUUGGGACUGAGACACGGCCCAAACUCCUACGGGAGGCAGCAGUGGGGAAUCUUGCGCAAUGGGCGAAAGCCUGACGCAGCCAUGCCGCGUGAAUGAUGAAGGUCUUAGGAUUGUAAAAUUCUUUCACCGGGGACGAUAAUGACGGUACCCGGAGAAGAAGCCCCGGCUAACUUCGUG
rnacentral:rRNA from 1 species